AGUGAACGCUGGCGGUAGGCCUAACACAUGCAAGUCGAACGGCAGCACAGUAAGAGCUUGCUCUUACGGGUGGCGAGUGGCGGACGGGUGAGGAAUACAUCGGAAUCUACUUUUUCGUGGGGGAUAACGUAGGGAAACUUACGCUAAUACCGCAUACGACCUACGGGUGAAAGCAGGGGAUCUUCGGACCUUGCGCGAUUGAAUGAGCCGAUGUCGGAUUAGCUAGUUGGCGGGGUAAAGGCCCACCAAGGCGACGAUCCGUAGCUGGGCUGAGAGGAUGACCAGCCACACUGGGACUGAGACACGGUCCAGACUCCUACGGGAGGCAGCAGUGGGGAAUAUUGGACAAUGGGCGCAAGCCUGAUCCAGCCAUACCGCGUGGGUGAAGAAGGCCUUCGGGUUGUAAAGCGCUUUUGUUGGGAAAGAAAAGCAGCAGGUUAAUACCCCGCUGUUCUGACGGUACCCAAAGAAUAAGCACCGGCUAACUUCGUG
rnacentral:rRNA from 1 species